ACUACGACCUUCAUUGCUUUCAAUGGGAAACUUUUGGCGUCAGAAUUCGACACGAGGACAUGAGAUGUUUAUCGCUAUGAAAUCACGUUCAAGAAGUCUCAUUCAGCACACAUCGCGAUACUUGCUAUCAGUGACAGUUCCACAGUUUGGCUGAAAAGACAUAAAGGCAGUCAGCCCAGUGGUGUUUCUGGAGAGGGAUUCCUUCAGAAAUGGAGAAGACAGAAAGCUGCGGAGGCAGAUAUUUGCAGCAGUCUAAAAUAUCAAGCUCAACAACUCACUCAAGAGCCAACCCUCACAAACCUUCCUAAAAACUAAAAGAGCUAUUACUGAGUCUCAGCGAAUCUUGCCAUGAUCAGCUCUUCCCAGAAGAGAAGGAAGACCAAGGAAAUGAUUUGCUCAGGAUGAGAAAUGAAGAUGGCCAUCUUGUGCUCAAACAAACAGAAGUCCUCUGAUGAUCUCAUCAGCCAAAUGAGGGGUUUUGACCAAGUGAUGCUCUUGAAAGGAGUGAAAGAAGAGGAUGUGCUAAAUUCUCUUCAGAGAAAAAGCUUCUCAAAAGGUCUCAAAACAGCUUGAAGAAUGGUCUGGGAUGUUAGGACUGAAAGAUCCUCUGGCUGAGAGAAGCUACACCACAUCAGUGCUGGAUAUCAACCACAAACUGUUUCCAGACACGAGAGAAGAAGAACACGAUGGGGAGAUGAAACCAGUUUAGAUGUGAUGAUGGGAAUCAUUAUUUUCUGGAACAGUAUCUCAUGUCUUAUAUGUAUCACAUGAUCUGUAUCACAGUUGACUGGAUGGGACUGUGUGACUUUUAAGGACAUUUCAUCACUCAUCUGUGUGAACUGAUUUAUAUAUGAGGUUAAUGUAUUUUUGAUGAUAAUUAUUUUCAUUGAAUCUUAUUCGUCUUGAUGCUACUUUAUCAACUUUAUAGUCUAUGCUUCAAUAAAAUGAAAAUGGUGAA